UCCGGCUCUUAUCGAAGCCGCAGCUGCUUCCACAUCACUGCUGAGGUCAAAAAGCCCGGAGUGACAGUUUUCUUUGACGGUCACCAUUCUAUUUGCUUCACUGAUCUGCAACAUUUCAGGAAAAACAGGG